GGCCAGACUCCUACGGGAGGCAGCAGUGGGGAAUAUUGCACAAUGGGGGGAACCCUGAUGCAGCGACGCCGCGUGAGUGAAGAAGUAUUUCGGUAUGUAAAGCUCUAUCAGCAGGGAAGAAAAUGACGGUACCUGACUAAGAAGCCCCGGCUAACUACGUGCCAGCAGCCGCGGUAAUACGUAGGGGGCAAGCGUUAUCCGGAUUUACUGGGUGUAAAGGGAGCGUAGACGGCCAUGCAAGCCUGGAGUGAAAGCCCGGGGCCCAACCCCGGGACUGCUCUGGGAACUGUGCGGCUGGAGUGCGGGAGGGGCAGGCGGAAUUCCUGGUGUAGCGGUGAAAUGCGUAGAUAUCAGGAGGAACACCGGCGGCGAAGGCGGCCUGCUGGACCGCGACUGACGUUGAGGCUCGAAAGCGUGGGGAGCAAACAGGAUUAGAUACCCUUCA
rnacentral:rRNA from 1 species